GUGGCUGGCGGCUGGGUGCCUUCUACUGGUGCUGUGGAGAGGCUUUCCCUAAGGCUGCUGUGAGCCUGUAGGGUUUCCCCCUAGGCUACUAAGCUGG
rnacentral:pre_miRNA from 1 species